UGCAAGUCGAGUGCGCGGUUGUAGCAAUACAACUGGCGCACGGCGCACGGGUGCGUAACACGUGGGCAAUCUGCCCUUCGAUGGGGAAUAACUCCGGGAAACCGAAGCUAAUUCCGCAUAACAUUCCUUGGACUUCGGUUCGAGGAUUCAAAGCCGUAAGGCGUCGAAGGAGGAGCCCGCGCACGAUUAGCUAGUUGGUAGGGUAACGGCCUACCAAGGCUUUGAUCGUUAGCUGGUCUGAGAGGAUGGCCAGCCACACUGGAACUGAGACACGGUCCAGACUCCUACGGGAGGCAGCAGUGGGGAAUCUUGCACAAUGGGCGAAAGCCUGAUGCAGCGACGCCGCGUGGGGGAUGAAGCAUCUCGGUGUGUAAACCCCUUUCGACCCGGACGAAUGCCUCGCAAGAGGGGUGACGGUACGGGUAUAAGAAGCCCCGGCUAACUACGUGCCAGCAGCCGCGGUAAGACGUAGGGGGCCAGCGUUGUUCGGAAUUACUGGGUGUAAAGGGUUCGUAGGCGGUGUGGCAAGUUGGGAGUGAAAUCUCUGGGCUCAACCCAGAGGCUGCUUCCAAAACUGCCAUGCUUGAGUGUGGGAGAGGCGCGUGGAAUUGCAGGUGUAGCGGUGAAAUGCGUAGAUAUCUGCAGGAACACCCGUGGCGAAAGCGGCGCGCUGGACCACAACUGACGCUGAGGAACGAAAGCUAGGGGAGCAAACAGGAUUAGAUACCCUGGUAGUCCUAGCCCUAAACGAUCAGGACUUGGGGUGCCGCACGUUCGUGCGUCGUCCCGGAGCUAACGCGUUAAGUCCUGCACCUG
rnacentral:rRNA from 1 species